GGUUAAGCGACUAAGCGUACACGGUGGAUGCCCUGGCAGUCAGAGGCGAUGAAGGACGUGCUAAUCUGCGAUAAGCGUCGGUAAGGUGAUAUGAACCGUUAUAACCGGCGAUUUCCGAAUGGGGAAACCCAGUGUGAUUCGUCACACUAUCAUUAACUGAAUCCAUAGGUUAAUGAGGCGAACCGGGGGAACUGAAACAUCUAAGUACCCCGAGGAAAAGAAAUCAACCGAGAUUCCCCCAGUAGCGGCGAGCGAACGGGGAGGAGCCCAGAGCCUGAAUCAGUGUGUGUGUUAGUGGAAGCGUCUGGAAAGGCGCGCGAUACAGGGUGACAGCCCCGUACACAAAAAUGCACAUGCUGUGAGCUCGAUGAGUAGGGCGGGACACGUGGUAUCCUGUCUGAAUAUGGGGGGACCAUCCUCCAAGGCUAAAUACUCCUGACUGACCGAUAGUGAACCAGUACCGUGAGGGAAAGGCGAAAAGAACCCCGGCGAGGGGAGUGAAAAAGAACCUGAAACCGUGUACGUACAAGCAGUGGGAGCACGCUUAGGCGUGUGACUGCGUACCUUUUGUAUAAUGGGUCAGCGACUUAUAUUCUGUAGCAAGGUUAACCGAAUAGGGGAGCCGAAGGGAAACCGAGUCUUAACUGGGCGUUAAGUUGCAGGGUAUAGACCCGAAACCCGGUGAUCUAGCCAUGGGCAGGUUGAAGGUUGGGUAACACUAACUGGAGGACCGAACCGACUAAUGUUGAAAAAUUAGCGGAUGACUUGUGGCUGGGGGUGAAAGGCCAAUCAAACCGGGAGAUAGCUGGUUCUCCCCGAAAGCUAUUUAGGUAGCGCCUCGUGAAUUCAUCUCCGGGGGUAGAGCACUGUUUCGGCAAGGGGGUCAUCCCGACUUACCAACCCGAUGCAAACUGCGAAUACCGGAGAAUGUUAUCACGGGAGACACACGGCGGGUGCUAACGUCCGUCGUGAAGAGGGAAACAACCCAGACCGCCAGCUAAGGUCCCAAAGUCAUGGUUAAGUGGGAAACGAUGUGGGAAGGCCCAGACAGCCAGGAUGUUGGCUUAGAAGCAGCCAUCAUUUAAAGAAAGCGUAAUAGCUCACUGGUCGAGUCGGCCUGCGCGGAAGAUGUAACGGGGCUAAACCAUGCACCGAAGCUGCGGCAGCGACGCUGAUGCGUUGUUGGGUAGGGGAGCGUUCUGUAAGCCUGUGAAGGUGUGCUGUGAGGCAUGCUGGAGGUAUCAGAAGUGCGAAUGCUGACAUAAGUAACGAUAAAGCGGGUGAAAAGCCCGCUCGCCGGAAGACCAAGGGUUCCUGUCCAACGUUAAUCAGGGCAGGGUGAGUCGACCCCUAAGGCGAGGCCGAAAGGCGUAGUCGAUGGGAAACAGGUUAAUAUUCCUGUACUUGGUGUUACUGCGAAGGGGGGACGGAGAAGGCUAUGUUGGCCGGGCGACGGUUGUCCCGGUUUAAGCGUGUAGGCUGGUUUUCCAGGCAAAUCCGGAAAACUAAGGCUGAGGCGUGAUGACGAGGCACUACGGUGCUGAAGCAACAAAUGCCCUGCUUCCAGGAAAAGCCUCUAAGCAUCAGGUAACAUCAAAUCGUACCCCAAACCGACACAGGUGGUCAGGUAGAGAAUACCAAGGCGCUUGAGAGAACUCGGGUGAAGGAACUAGGCAAAAUGGUGCCGUAACUUCGGGAGAAGGCACGCUGAUAUGUAGGUGAAGUCCCUCGCGGAUGGAGCUGAAAUCAGUCGAAGAUACCAGCUGGCUGCAACUGUUUAUUAAAAACACAGCACUGUGCAAACACGAAAGUGGACGUAUACGGUGUGACGCCUGCCCGGUGCCGGAAGGUUAAUUGAUGGGGUCAGCGCAAGCGAAGCUCUUGAUCGAAGCCCCGGUAAACGGCGGCCGUAACUAUAACGGUCCUAAGGUAGCGAAAUUCCUUGUCGGGUAAGUUCCGACCUGCACGAAUGGCGUAAUGAUGGCCAGGCUGUCUCCACCCGAGACUCAGUGAAAUUGAACUCGCUGUGAAGAUGCAGUGUACCCGCGGCAAGACGGAAAGACCCCGUGAACCUUUACUAUAGCUUGACACUGAACAUUGAGCCUUGAUGUGUAGGAUAGGUGGGAGGCUUUGAAGUGUGGACGCCAGUCUGCAUGGAGCCGACCUUGAAAUACCACCCUUUAAUGUUUGAUGUUCUAACGUUGACCCGUAAUCCGGGUUGCGGACAGUGUCUGGUGGGUAGUUUGACUGGGGCGGUCUCCUCCUAAAGAGUAACGGAGGAGCACGAAGGUUGGCUAAUCCUGGUCGGACAUCAGGAGGUUAGUGCAAUGGCAUAAGCCAGCUUGACUGCGAGCGUGACGGCGCGAGCAGGUGCGAAAGCAGGUCAUAGUGAUCCGGUGGUUCUGAAUGGAAGGGCCAUCGCUCAACGGAUAAAAGGUACUCCGGGGAUAACAGGCUGAUACCGCCCAAGAGUUCAUAUCGACGGCGGUGUUUGGCACCUCGAUGUCGGCUCAUCACAUCCUGGGGCUGAAGUAGGUCCCAAGGGUAUGGCUGUUCGCCAUUUAAAGUGGUACGCGAGCUGGGUUUAGAACGUCGUGAGACAGUUCGGUCCCUAUCUGCCGUGGGCGCUGGAGAACUGAGGGGGGCUGCUCCUAGUACGAGAGGACCGGAGUGGACGCAUCACUGGUGUUCGGGUUGUCAUGCCAAUGGCACUGCCCGGUAGCUAAAUGCGGAAGAGAUAAGUGCUGAAAGCAUCUAAGCACGAAACUUGCCCCGAGAUGAGUUCUCCCUGACUCCUUGAGAGUCCUGAAGGAACGUUGAAGACGACGACGUUGAUAGGCCGGGUGUGUAAGCGCAGCGAUGCGUUGAGCUAACCGGUACUAAUGAACCGUGAGGCUUAACCUU
rnacentral:rRNA from 1 species